rnacentral:rRNA from 1 species
GACAGAGGGUGCAAACGUUGUUCGGAAUUACUGGGCGUAAAGCGCGUGUAGGCUGCUCUGCAAGUCGGAUGUGAAAGCCCUGGGCUCAACCUAGGAAGUGCACUCGAAACUGCAGAGCUUGAGUCUCGGAGAGGAUCGCGGAAUUCUCGGUGUAGAGGUGAAAUUCGUAGAUAUCGAGAGGAACACCGGUGGCGAAGGCGGCCGAUCUGG